rnacentral:rRNA from 1 species
GAUGAACGCUGGCGGCGUGCCUAAUACAUGCAAGUCGAGCGAAUGGAUUGAGAGCUUGCUCUUAUGAAGUUAGCGGCGGACGGGUGAGUAACACGUGGGUAACCUGCCCAUAAGACUGGGAUAACUCCGGGAAACCGGGGCUAAUACCGGAUAACAUUUUGAACCGCAUGGUUCGAAAUUGAAAGGCGGCUUCGGCUGUCACUUAUGGAUGGACCCGCGUCGCAUUAGCUAGUUGGUGAGGUAACGGCUCACCAAGGCAACGAUGCGUAGCCGACCUGAGAGGGUGAACGGCCACACUGGAACUGAGACACGGCCCAGACUCCUACGGGAGGCAGCAGUAGGGAAUCUUCCGCAAUGGACGAAAGUCUGACGGAGCAACGCCGCGUGAGUGAUGAAGGCUUUCGGGUCGUAAAACUCUGUUGUUAGGGAAGAACAAGUGCUAGUUGAAUAAGCUGGCACCUUGACGGUACCUAACCAGAAAGCCACGGCUAACUACGUGCCAGCCGCCGCCGUAA